GCCUGGCGUGGUGGUGCAUGCCUGCAAUCCCAGCUACUCAGGAGGCUGAGGCAGGAGAAUUGCUUGAAUCUGAGAGGUGGAGGUUGCAGUGAGCCAAGAUGGCUCCAUUGCACUCCAGCCUGGGCAACAAGAGUGAAACUCCAUCUCAAAAAAAAAAAAAAAUCUCAUUACCAAAUUUUAGCUAGGACAAAUUGCUGCUAUUUCAGAAGUAACGGGUAUCCAACCAGAAAGGGCUUGAUUUAGAAACCAAACCCAGGCUGUCAUGGUGAAAAAAAAUGCAUGGUGAGCUCCCGGGAGCAGGGGAACCACCAGGUUGCCUAAGGAGGGGUGAACUGGCCCAGGUUGGAAACAGAGCAGGUCAAAACUCCUGUCCUGAUCGUAGUGGGAUUGCUCCUGUGAAAAGCCACUGCACUCCAGCCUGGGCUACAUAGCGAGACCCCGUCUCUG
ensembl:misc_RNA Metazoa_SRP Metazoan signal recognition particle RNA